rnacentral:rRNA from 1 species
UACAGGGGGUGCAAACGUUGUUCGGAAUCAUUGGGCGUAAAGCGCACGUAGGCGGUCUGUUAUGUCGGAUGUGAAAGCCCUUGGCUUAACUGAGGAAGUGCAUCCGAAACUGGCAGGCUAGAGUACUAAAGAGGGUCGCGGAAUUCCCGGUGUAGAGGUGAAAUUCGUAGAUAUCGGGAGGAACACCGAUGGCGAAGGCGGCGACCUGGGUAGAUACUGACGCUGAGGUGCGAAAGCGUGGGGAGCAAACAGG